rnacentral:lncRNA from 1 species
AGAAAUGUUACUUUAUUUUAAAACAUAUACAGAAUAAUAAAUAUUAUUGUAAAACUUAAGAGCCUUUUUUAUCUACAUAAGGCAAUUAUAACAUGCUAUGACUACUUCUAUGAAGGAAAAUAUAAGCAAGUCUUAGACACUGAUAGAUAUGUGUGUACUAACUGGAAACAUCUCCCCCACUACAUUUAUGUGAAAAAGCUUUUACAGAACCAUCAUUUGGCAUUCUUUUUAAUUUGUUGCUCUCAUUAUAUUCAUUUCAUGAGGAAGUAAUAAUUAUCCUUUUAAAAAGCAAAACCAGGAUUACAACUGAAAUGCCACACCUUUAAACUUUCAUAAAGUGCAAAAUUACUGAUGAAAUGCAAGGCAUUGUGACAAAAGAAGCCUUCGGGAUGUGUCAAGGGGACUCUUUGGCGUUAGUGUUUCUGGAGUUCCUGACAUCUGCCUGGCAUCAGAUAACUGAGUAUCAUCAGGACUAAGGUACCCUGGUAAGCUGGAAGUUCAGCUUGUCUCAUGAGAAAUUCAAUGCCACAGAACUGAUGGGACACAUAGGCUCCACAUACAGCACACAACCCAAGCAGACCACAAAGGAACUCAUCAUUUCAUCAUAAUUUGGUCUUCCCAUUAUUUUUGAAGUCCAUGUUUUAUUUCCUCCUCCAACAAAAUAUGUAAACCCUUAAAACAAAAAUUAAAGUCUUAUGGAAUCAUGCAAACUUUAUACCCAGGGUUCUCCUCACUUGCUUGGUGUUCAGGGCUACAUGCUCUAUAGCACGGUGUUGAUCAGACUCCAACAUUUGCAAGCUUCCCGAGCAGUUCUGAGCAUGGGGCUCCCACCUGCCCUUUCCAGAGAGUAAGUGAAGGUACUCUCAGUUUAGAAUCAAUUUUGUAGGACCUUCCUACAACUUUCGAGGUAGAAAAACCGAGGCACAGAAAGGUUAAAAAAAUCCACACAUAUAUCCACAAAUCAGGAGAAAAUUAGGGGAAAAAAAUAAGAAUUGGAAUUGGAAAGAUGGCUCGGUGCUUAAAAGCACAGGGUGCUUUGCAGAGGGCUCAGGUUGAGUUCCCAGGGCCCACAUGGUGGAGCACAACCUGAAGAUGCUCCAGUUUCAAGGGAUCUUCUGCCCUCUCCUGGCCUUGGUAGAUACUGCAUGCAGGUGGUACACAUACAUGCAGAAAAAAAGCCCAUAUAACAUGAAAUAAAUAUAAAAUUUUAAAAACAAACAAACAAACAAAAAAUAAAUACUUCCUGUCUCCAUGGGCCUAUAACUAUACUUUUAAAUUACUUUGGGUACAUUUGAAAGAGAUGUUUAUUUACAUGGUCAUUUUUUUCUAUAUAUCAAUUUGUAAUAGAUAUCUUUUGAUACAACAGUUGUUACUUUUAAAAAUAUUCUUUUGCUGCAUUUAAUUGCAUAUGAGAAAUGUGUAUGAUAAAAAGUGAGUAGUGGUAUUGGGCUGAAUGCUCAUUACUAUUUCUAUAACUCUUAAUUUUCUUGCAUGGAUAAUAUAGUAUACAGAUCUUGCCAGAUGCGAAAAAUCACCUAUGAGCGAAAUUACAGACUCUUAAAAUUCACCAGUGACAACUAUCACGUGUAAGUGAGAAAUAUAAAAAAAAUUAUGUGGUAAACUGGCUGAUGGUGUGACUAGUGAGCCAAGUAGCCUUUUGCCAACUCAAAUUAACAGAAUCUAGCAGUGACUAUAAGUAAAACAUAGGGAAAAUGUGGCUAUGUCCUUAGAAACUCUGUGCUAAGGAGCUGAUAGUACAGUUUUGGUCCCUGAGAAGGCUUAACACCAAGAUUCUCUCCAGCCCUGCUUAACAGACUAACAAGCUCCUUUGUGUCAGUCACACUGAGAAUACUUCCUUAGAUCUAAUUCAUACCGUCAUGAUGCCUUUUAAAGAUCACAAAAAUACUGACCAAGACGCAGUAGCUAUCCAAGAGAGGAGCACUGCUCUGCUAGGCAAGUCUGGAAUAAAAGUAUCACUGCUAAUGAAAAUUAUGAAUAUGCAGGAGGCCCAGUGUAAUGACAUAUGCUUGUAAUCUCAGCCCUGGAGAGGUUGAGGAAACACAGUUCAAGGCCACCCUGGGACACACAACAAGACCCUUUUAAGGGGAUGAAGAGAGAAAAAAUAUGCAGCGGGCAAUAGUUGACGCUCACUAACACUUGUUUCAACAGGCCGUCUGUUUUUCUACACCUAAAAGUCACGACAUGUGAGUACCUGACAGAAGCCUAGCGACAAGCUUCUAAGCAUUCAGCAGAGCACCGACCACGAACUGGACCGUUAGGAACAAAGGAAGAGGAUCGGUGACUGCAGAUUCUCCCCACCCCAGAGCUCUGACUUGGGAAAUUAUAUUUUCUUUUGCAUUUCCAAGUGAAUUGUGAAAAACUGGAUUUGUAUAAUAGUAAGUAUACAUCCAUGUGCACUACAUUAAAUUUGAAAAUUAGGCCCCAUUCAUGAUCGUUACUUGGAAGUUAAUUGUGGUAACUUGCUCUUCCAGAACAAAAGCAUGAAGCCUACUGGAGCAAUCUGCUAACCAGAUGAUCACCUGGGUGAUCCGGCUGUUCCAGAACCUUAGGAGAACUACUCAUACUAUACAAUCUCGCUUUACACGUGAAAUGAUAGCCUUUGGAUAUUCAUGGUAUAUUGUAGACUGAAACUUCAGAUAUAUCAACAGGUGCACUUAAACUAACUCCAUGGGACGUAGCAAAAAUGAACAAGGUAAUUUCCACAUUAUAAAUUAAUUCACUGUACUAUUAUAGCUAUAUUCUUACCUCAGAAACUUUCGUAUUAAAAUUAUACAGAUCCUGCUGCAUAACACUUUCCACUUAUGUUCUGUUCAAUAAAUUAAGUUUUAUAUUACUAAAGAUACUAGUGAUUAAAAAAAAAAUUCAAGAGCUGGGCAGUGGUGGUGCAUGCCUUUAAUCCCAGCACUUGGGAGGCAGAGGCAGGCGGAUUUCUGAGUUUGAGGCCAGCCUAGUCUACAGAGUGAGUUACAGGACAGCCAGGGUUACACAGAGAAACCCUGUCUCGAAAAACCAAAAAAGAAAAAAAAUUUCAAAAGCUGACACAAAGAAGAAUGAGCUCGAACGUUUACUAACUACUGAUUUAUGCAAGGUUUUCAAUUGUUUAAAUCACUGUGUUGCUGUUCUUCCCAAAUUACUGACUGAUACACAAGAUCAUUAUUCAUGUUUUCACUUUAUUGAGUCUGACAAAUGGCCAGAAAACAGAUUCCUUUAUGCUAAACUACUAUUUUACUCUUUUUUUCCCCUACAGUUCAGAGAACUAUUAUUUGGGUCUUUUGGGGGAUGGGCUGAGACAGGAUUUCUCUGUAUAGUCCUGGCUGUCCUGGAACUUGCUCUGUAAACCAGGCUGGUCUCAAACUCAGACAUUUUAAUCCUUUGGGGAUUAAAAGCAUAUGCCACCAACAUCCGGCUAUAAUUUGGAUCUUUACUUUAAAAAUGCCCCUUCUACCUGGAAAAGCACAUUUUUGUCUUAGUGGGGAGUUUAAUUGGGUAUUAUUAAAAUUCAUGUUCUCCUUCACCUAACUUAUUUAUUCAACCCCAUUCUUUUUAACUUGGACUAUUCCAUUCAGAUAAAACAAAGCAGGUAGAAUAUACAGCAUCGUAAUAAGAUGCUAUAUUGUGUUGCCUUGUAUCUUUCUCCAAUUUAGUGCACAGGAAGGUUACUAUGGAAUAGAAGGACCGAUCAUUUCUGAUCUAAAAUACUGCAUGACUAACAACUAUUUUCCAUUUAAGAAGGUUGUUUUGUUUUGUUGUUUCUCUUUGAUGCUGGCUAUGAAGCCCAGAGCCUUGCAUACAAUCAGAAGGUUUAGGAAGAGGCUCAGUAAGAAAGUAUAGAAGGUUCUAUCAUUUCAAAUGAGAAGGUUACAUUGUUUUCAUCUUUGCUAGAAACUCCCUUAGAAAAUACACAUUACACUUUGUAGAAAAAGUCCUAAGCUGUGUUCCUGGAUUGAGGUGCUUUUACUUUUUGUUUUGUUUUGUUUUGUUUUAUUCGAGACAGGGUUUCUUUGUGUAGCCAUGGCUGUCCUGGAACUCAC